rnacentral:rRNA from 1 species
GAUGAACGCUGGCGGCGUGCUUAACACAUGCAAGUCGAGCGAGUGAGUUCUUCGGAACGAUCUAGCGGCGGACGGGUGAGUAACACGUGGGCAACCUGCCUCAUAGAGGGGAAUAGCCUCCCGAAAGGGAGAUUAAUACCGCAUAAAAUUAUCGAGUGGCAUCACAUGAUAAUCAAAGGAGUAAUCCGCUAUGAGAUGGGCCCGCGGCGCAUUAGCUAGUUGGUGAGGUAACGGCUCACCAAGGCGACGAUGCGUAGCCGACCUGAGAGGGUGAUCGGCCACAUUGGGACUGAGACACGGCCCAGACUCCUACGGGAGGCAGCAGUGGGGAAUAUUGCACAAUGGGGGAAACCCUGAUGCAGCAACGCCGCGUGAGUGAUGAAGGUCUUCGGAUUGUAAAGCUCUGUCUUUGGGGACGAUAAUGACGGUACCCAAGGAGGAAGCCACGGCUAACUACGUGCCAGCAGCCGCGGUAA